rnacentral:lncRNA from 7 species
GGAGUAGAAUUCUGCAUUUUGCCAGAUCCUGCUGGGAAACAGCUGUGUUUAUACUUUGCACAUCUGUCAGAGCAGGCUGCUGAGAUCUCCAGAUCUGAGGACUGUCCCAGCUGAUUUAGCUCCUGGACACCUUUAGCUUCUGUCAUGGAUUCCUGCUUAUGAAUAGAUAAAACAGUGUACUGAAAGCUGCUGGGCAAAACUGUUGUGCUGAAUCCUUGGCAAGUUUCAGAAAGACAAACGUGAUGUUGUCAGACCAUCACCCAGUACAGCUGCAGUCACUCAACAGGCCAAAAGCAAGAUCCUGAUCUUGGGCAUCUCAGAGCACCCUGUAUGGCUGCAAGUAUCUGCCACUUCUAAGCAGAGGCCCUGUAUGACUCCAAAGGUUUCCUGAGCUCAAGCAGUUAUGGAUGCCAGCUGGAGCUCUGAAGAGGAGCUGGACAUGAUGGCCCUGGGGAGUUCCUUCCAUCUCAGGAUAAUCUGAUUGCUGAACUGCUACUUACAGCUUUUCACAGCCUUCCUACUUGUUCUUGUUCAGUGCGUCUGUUUGAAAGUGUCUUGAAGAUGAAGUUAUUUCCUGGAGGAAUUCUGAAGGCAACAAGAAGCAUUUUCUCAAGGAGGGAAAAAAAAAAAACCAAACCCUGGAGUGACUUGUGCCUAAAUCCUGGAGCAGAACAGAGUGGCAGCCAGGGCUGCUUACCAGGACAGCAUUUUUGCCUUUUUGUCUCUCUGGGGAUUCUCAAGUAGGAAAGAAAACUGUGGUGUUACUGCUGGGAGGAUUUUUCCUGAUCCUGAGGGAAUCCAUUCUGGAAGCUUGAUCCAAAUGACAGCUGCCUCCAAUUACCACUCUACACAUUGCUGUGGGUAUUUGGUUACAAUCAAGACUGGAGGCUUGAUGACAGCUAGAAGUACUAGCAAGGAAACCUCAGAUGGUUCAGGCUACAGCAGCAUGGGUGCAGGACAACCUGGAUGUAAGUCAGCAGAACAUCUACAGGGCUAAUUAGGACCAUGACCUUGAAAAGGCAUUUUCCAGUACUGUUCACUUAGGUUGAAGCUAGAGACAGAGGAAGGUAUGCACUUCCCAUUAUGAGUGCUACUCCUAAGUUUUCCAACAGGUGCCAAGUAUGGUGGCUUUGAAAUGUAUUUUGGAGAGCUAACAAAGUGGCUAAAGCAGAUGAUUCAUAACAGGCUGUACUAAGACCAAAAAAACCCCACCAACUGGAGUGGUCAUUAAUUUGUGAGGUGAGCAGGCAGCACUCACCAAGCAAGUGGUGCACUGCCUGUUUCCCAGCCUGCCUUCAAACAUCUGCGCGCCUCAGAAGCAAGUGUAAUGUUAUUCUCCCAAGGUGACCCCCUGCUCUGCACUGCAGAAGAAUGAUGGUGAUGUUACAGGCUGGAAUGGAGUAACAGAAGAUGAUUCAAGCAAGGCUCAUCUUUCCCCCAACUUCUGAAAUAGCCAUGGGAGCCCUUCAUGGCAAGCUGCCCAUGGCAGGAACCAGUCAGAACCUGCUUCUCCCUGAUGGAAGCCAUCAAGGAAGAGAUGAACAGGAGACUUUGUAAAUGUCUUUAUAACAUGGAAAGCUUUGGAUUUAUGGUGAUAAAUAAUGUUUUCCGCAGUAUGCAUCAACCUGAUUAAUUUCUUUCUAAAUUUAUAGCUUGUGUGUCCUUUAAUCUAUCUUGUGCCAUAGCAACAAUAACAAGCUGAUUGCUGUACCAUUUCAAUCAGCAUCAGUGGCAGUGAGCAGAUGUAUCACUGCCUCAACAAUAGCAUAGGUUUCGUUUCUGAAAAACAUUACUUAGGGCUUUUACUCCAGUUGCAGACGUUAUCUUUUUGUUUUCUGAACUUCUGGUGAAGGAGAACUAACAGUGCUAUAUAAUGCUUUGUGUUUAAUGGAUCUUGUGGUAAGAAGGAUUGAAAAGCAAUACAAGCAG